AAGACAUGUAGACUCAGAUAUGACAGACAGCUUUAAGGAACUAAGGUUGACUUCAGAAAACCUGGAGCCAUAAACCCCCUUGGAACCGUUGGCCUGCUACCUCGCUUACAGAGUUCCCAGCAGCCUCACCAGCUGACGUGUUUGUGCCUAAUUCUUCUCCCGUGCACCGAAUGGAAGUGGCAAUGGAUGAUGGAAGCCAACUUACUAAGUACUGGGCUGCACUUACAGAUAUGCCAGAAAUAAUACUUAAAACUUGUCAAACUUUAAACCUAGUUACCCAUAUGCCUGAACCUGACCAUUGUACCUCUUUAUAGAGCAAAAACUGUUCAGAGGCUA